CCCUGGGUGGCUCAGUCGGUUGAGCAUCUGACUUUGGCUCAGUCAUGAUCUCACAGUUGGUGGGUUCAAGCCCCACAUCAGGCU
rnacentral:tRNA from 1 species